AGGCACAAGGACAGGCCUCUCCAAGGGUGCUGUCCUCAGAACAGUUCCCAGAGGCCUCUGUUCUCUGCAGCUAUCCUCACAAGAGGAGGAAAGCAUGGCAAUCUCUCUUCUGUGGAAUUGUAGAGUCCCAGACACUAAACUUCAUAAGAGGAAGAA
rnacentral:lncRNA from 1 species